rnacentral:rRNA from 1 species
AGAGUUUGAUCAUGGCUCAGAACGAACGCUGGCGGCGUGCCUAACACAUGCAAGUCGAACGAGAAAGCGGGCUUCGGCCCGUGAGUAAAGUGGCAGACGGGUGAGUAACACGUGGGUAAUCUGCCCAAGGGCGGGGGAUAACCUCUCGAAAGAGGGGCUAAUACCGCAUAAUGUCCGAGUAUCUUCGGGUGUUCGGACCAAAGCUUGCCUCUACAUGUAAGCUUGUGCCUUUGGAGGAGCCCGCGUCCCAUUAGCUUGUUGGUGAGGUAAUAGCUCACCAAGGCAACGAUGGGUAGCCGGCCUGAGAGGGUGAACGGCCACACUGGAACUGAGACACGGUCCAGACUCCUACGGGAGGCAGCAGUGAGGAAUUUUGCGCAAUGGGCGAAAGCCUGACGCAGCGACGCCGCGUGGAGGACGAAGGCCUUCGGGUCGUAAACUCCUGUCAAGCGGGACGAAUCCUGGUUGGAUGAAUAAGCCUUCCAGUUGACGGUACCGCUGGAGGAAGCCCCGGCUAACUCCGUGCCAGCAGCCGCGGUAAUACGGA